GGGGAGGCAAAAACUGCAGUCGAGCGAGCUUGCCUAGAUGAUUUUAGUGCUUGCACUAAAUGAAACUAGAUACAAGCGACCGGCGGACGGGUGAGUAACACGUGGGUAACCUGCCCAAGAGACUGGGAUAACACCUGGAAACAGAUGCUAAUACCGGAUAACAACACUAGACGCAUGUCUAGAGUUUGAAAGAUGGUUCUGCUAUCACUCUUGGAUGGACCUGCGGUGCAUUAGCUAGUUGGUAAGGUAACGGCUUACCAAGGCAAUGAUGCAUAGCCGAGUUGAGAGACUGAUCGGCCACAUUGGGACUGAGACACGGCCCAAACUCCUACGGGAGGCAGCAGUAGGGAAUCUUCCACAAUGGACGAAAGUCUGAUGGAGCAACGCCGCGUGAAUGAAGAAGGGUUUCGGCUCGUAAAGCUCUGUUGGUAGUGAAGAAAGAUAGAGGUAGUAACUGGCCUUUAUUUGACGGUAAUUACUUAGAAAGUCACGGCUAACUACGUGCCAGCAGCCGCGGUAAUACGUAGGUGGCAAGCGUUGUCCGGAUUUAUUGGGCGUAAAGCGAGUGCAGGCGGUUCAAUAAGUCUGAUGUGAAAGCCUUCGGCUCAACCGGAGAAUUGCAUCAGAAACUGUUGAACUUGAGUGCAGAAGAGGAGAGUGGAACUCCAUGUGUAGCGGUGGAAUGCGUAGAUAUAUGGAAGAACACCAGUGGCGAAGGCGGCUCUCUGGUCUGCAACUGACGCUGAGGCUCGAAAGCAUGGGUAGCGAACAGGAUUAGAUACCCUGGUAGUCCAUGCCGU
rnacentral:rRNA from 1 species